UGAUGAUGGUGAGGACAACUAAUAGGUAAAGAUUUAAACCUGUCCCAAGCUUGGUACAAAUUCUCUCCAGCUUUCUGCUUAAAACUUAAGAUUUCACUUCGUAGUUU